UGGGGAAUCUUCCGCAAUGGACGAAAGUCUGACGGAGCAACGCCGCGUGAGUGAUGACGGUCUUCGGAUUGUAAAGCUCUGUUAAUCGGGACGAAUGGUUUGUGUGCAAAUAGUGCAUAGACAUGACGGUACCGGAAUAGAAAGCCACGGCUAACUACGUGCCAGCAGCCGCGGUAAUACGUAGGUGGCAAGCGUUGUCCGGAAUUAUUGGGCGUAAAGCGCGCGCAGGCGGACUAGCCAGUCAGUCUUAAAAGUUCGGGGCUUAACCCCGUGAUGGGAUUGAAACUACUAGUCUAGAGUAUCGGAGAGGAAAGUGGAAUUCCUAGUGUAGCGGUGAAAUGCGUAGAUAUUAGGAAGAACACCAGUGGCGAAGGCGACUUUCUGGACGAACACUGACGCUGAGGCGCGAAAGCCAGGGGAGCGAACAGG
rnacentral:rRNA from 1 species